rnacentral:pre_miRNA from 1 species
GCGGGCGGCCCCGCGGUGCAUUGCUGUUGCAUUGCACGUGUGUGAGGCGGGUGCAGUGCCUCGGCAGUGC